GAUGAACGCUAGCUACAGGCUUAACACAUGCAAGUCGCAGGGUAACAUGAGGAAAGCUUGCUUUCCUUGAUGACGACUGGCGCACGGGUGAGUAACGCGUAUCCAACCUUCCCAUAACUACGGGAUAACCCGUUGAAAGACGGCCUAAUACCGUAUGAUAUCGUUUGCUGACAUCAAAUAACGAUUAAAGGUUUAGCGGUUAUGGAUGGGGAUGCGUCUGAUUAGCUUGUUGGCGGGGUAACGGCCCACCAAGGCGACGAUCAGUAGGGGUUCUGAGAGGAAGGGCCCCCACAAUGGAACUGAGACCCGGGCCAAAGUCCUACGGGAGGGAGCAGUGAGGAAUAGUGGUCAAUGGGAGAGAGCCUGAACCAGCCAAGUAGCGUGCAGGACGACGGCCCUAUGGGUUGUAAACUGCUUUUAUGUGGGGAUAAAGUGCGUGACGUGUCAUGCAUUGCAGGUACCACAUGAAUAAGGACCGGCUAAUUCCGUG
rnacentral:rRNA from 1 species